CACUGGUGAUUGUUAGGAGUAAAAAAAAGAAAAAAGGAAAGGGUGUAGGUGUUUACACUGGAGAUAUUUCUGUGCUGUGUGUAAGCGUGAGACUGCAUUUCCUCAGUAUUCUAGAGGGUAAACUGGGAGAGGAAGUCCUGGAUGUAGGAGAUCCGACUCCAACAAAAUACAUCUAUUAUUAUUAAAUGAAAACAUAUUUUAGUCUGCACUCAGAAUCUAUUCAGUUAAGAAAUCAUGGACCAAGAGAAUGAGACCCUCAAACAGCAGCAGUCUUCCCUAGGCACGGGUAGAAAGUACAGGCGAAAAUGGACCCCACGCGUAUUUGGAACGAUGGGGACUGCCACCGGGUCCCAACCAAGAACCCAGUUGGGACACCUGGAGACAUGAGCCUGACGUUUGAGUACAGCUAAUGAACCACAGGUUCUGUGACUCCUGCCUCUCAUUCCUAUUCACGGUACUUCAGGUGUAGACUGUCCUUCCUAAUUGAUGUGACCUUUAUCCUAACUGGCUGCCUCACCUCAUCCCAGUGUAUAAUGAUAGUCAUGGACAAAGUUUUGUUUAGGCUGUAGACCUUAACAAUUGUGAUUUGCAUUUUUGCCAGUGAACUGUUGUUUUGACCUUGGCUUCAUUAUACUGUUUACAAUUACUGCUUCCUCUAUUGGAUCUUGUUGUUGUACAUCUUGUGUGUAGUUGGGAAAUAGGGAGUUGGAGCUAUUUAUUUUGAUCACUGUGGUUUUGUUCUGUAUGUGUGCAGGGAGUCUGGUUAGGUUUUUUUUUUUUUUUUUUUGGUUUAUUGGAGGCAAGUUUAGCUGCUUCUUUUUUCUGUUUGUUAUUUUGGCCUUGCCAUCUCCUAACACUCACACCCUCUAUGAAUAAAUUACUCAGUAAUUAAAACUAC